CCCGCCCCGCCGCGCCCCGGCGGAAGUGCGGCCGCCGGAGCCGCCCGAGUGCCGCCCGCGCCUCCGUUCCUCCGCGCCUGGGCCCAUGGCCGCCUACCAGUACCGCCCGGGCCCCGGGGCCGGCCCUGCCGCGGGCGCCGCGCUGCCGGACCAGAGCUUCCUGUGGAACGUCUUCCAGAGGGUUGACAAAGACAGGAGCGGCGUGAUAUCGGACAGCGAGCUCCAGCAGGCGCUGUCCAACGGCACCUGGACUCCAUUUAAUCCAGUGACCGUCCGGUCGAUCAUAUCCAUGUUUGACAGAGAGAACAAGGCUGGCGUGAACUUCAGCGAGUUCACGGGCGUCUGGAAGUACAUCACCGACUGGCAGAACGUCUUCCGCACCUACGACAGGGACAACUCGGGCAUGAUCGACAAGAACGAGCUCAAGCAAGCCCUCUCAGGUUUUGGGUACCGGCUCUCUGACCAGUUUCAUGACAUCCUCAUUCGGAAGUUCGACAGACAAGGACGGGGACAGAUCGCCUUCGAUGACUUCAUCCAGGGCUGCAUCGUCUUGCAGGAGAGGACGGAGUGCAGGCCUGGAGGAAGGGCCCCAGAGAAGCCCUCCUAGGACGGAGGGCAGGAGCGCCUGAGCCCACCCUGGCUGUUCCCACACGGGCCCUGCUCCUGUUUCCAGAGGUUGACAGAUAUAUUCAGACGCUAUGACACGGAUCAGGAUGGCUGGAUUCAGGUGUCAUAUGAACAGUACCUCUCCAUGGUCUUCAGCAUCGUAUGACACUGGCCUUCUGCAGAUACCAACAUGACUUACGGAAGAAAAGACUGGAAAUGCCAAACCUCUUACCUUUAACAAAACGAACACAGAUGCAGUUAGAUACUGUUCUUCCUUUAGAUUUUGUAUAAUUGCUCCUUGGGGACCCAGCUGUACAUAUGUGGAUAAGGUGGUUGAUGUUUCGCAGUUGUAACCGUGGUUAUGUCCUUACUCACAUACAAAUAUUGGAUUUGAGGCUGUUUAAUUGUGCCAUGAGGUUAGAUAAAAUAAUGUUUCAGGUGUUCUGCUUGCAAAAACUCAUCAUGUGCUUUUCUAGAUAGCUCCAGAUCUAGUGGGGAAGUACUUUAUUAGCCAACAGGAAUUUUAAAUAAUAUGGAACUUGCACACAAGGCUGCUCACGUGCCUUACUUUUUAAAAGCGGUUUAUUGUAUCUGAAUACGCAGUGUAAGCAAUAAAGCACAUGUGCCCUUGUCCCCAUUCA